AAUAUUGCACAAUGGGGGAAACCCUGAUGCAGCGACGCCGCGUGAGCGAAGAAGUCCUCCGGGUCGUAAAGCUCUGUCCUAUGGGAAGAAACGGACGUUACUUUAGGAUGCAGCCCCUGCUAACUACGUGCCAGCAGCCGCGGUAAUACGUAGGGGGCGGGCGUUAUCCGGAAGUAUUGGGCGUAAAGGGGGCGUAGGCGCCCUUUUAAGUCAGAUGUGAAAGGCUACGGCUUAACCGUAGUUAGCAUUUGAAACUAAAAGGCUUGAGUGCAGGAGAGGAGAGUGGAAUUCCUAGUGUAGCGGUGAAAUGCGUAGAUAUUAGGAGGAACACCAGUGGCGAAGGCGACUCUCUGGACUGCAACUGACGCUGAGGCACGAAAGCGUGGGGAGCGA
rnacentral:rRNA from 1 species